UUUAAAUUUGCUUCAACUUUGAGCUAAGAUGAUAAAUAUUCAGGCCAGAAGGAAGAACAUUCUGGACUAUGGGGAAAGAUGAGGUGACUAGGGAGGAAAGGAGAGAAAGAUCAAAAUCUCUUUCCAGUUCUACCAUUAACAAACUGGAACCUCAUUUUCCUAUCCAUUACUAAGCCUUUACUAAGGUUGUUUUCAAGUCGUUCUAAUGUUCUAUGAUGCUAAAUUAUUUCUUAAUUUUUUGAGAGAGAGAGGGAGAGAGCACGAGUGGAGGAAGGGCAGAAAGAGAGGGAAAGAGAAUCCCAAGGAAAGCUUCACGUUCAGUGUGGAGCCCGAUACAGGGAUCAAUCUUAUGACCGUGAGAUCAUGACCUGACCCCAAAUCAAGAGUCGGAUGCUCAACCGACUGAGCCACCCAGGCACCUCAAUGACUCUAAAUUAUUUCUUAAAAUAGGUUCACCCAAACCUGAGACCCUUGCCACUUCAUUUUUUAGGUAGAGAUGAUGCCUACAAAAGAAAAAACAUGUCCUGACUGACUCUCCCAUAAACUAUACCUUUGGUACAAGUCAGUUUUCUGGAAACUUCUGCCUUCUGUUGGGAGUUUACAAUGCUGGGAACCCUGGCCUGGACAGGAUGAUGCCGGUUAAAUAGGUCGUCCAUACCAAAAGCUUUUUUAUGAUGGGCAAAUCUCAUUUCAUUCCUGUUCAUGACGUGCCUUCACACCAAAAGGGGGCACCAUCUUAAAUAUUUUCUUUCUGCUUCGUGGGUACGUGCGUCUCCUGUUAUAAAGCAGUGAGGUCAUUACUCGGCCAACUCUCUGAGGUUUCCUUCAAAUGAAAGGGAUGGUAGGGUUUCCCGUGGCACCAUGUUGAAAACCUCCAUCAGGUUUCAGCUCCACAUCCAACUCCCCUUUGGCCUUUAGAAUGGAGUGGGGAGGGAUGGGAACACCAGAAGCAAGGCUUUGUUCUGAGUGGCCUUUGGUAAGUAACUUCUGUUGAAGGAACUUCUUCCUUAAGAAAAUACUGUCUGCAGAAAUGCCCAUAAUUGUCUAAAUAAGAAAGUUUCACUGUUAUCAUGGGGCCACAUGACUUCCGGGCUAAUGAUCUCACUUAGUCUCUAGGACCCGCUGAUCACAACCCCCUCUUCUGCUAUUUUGCUGAACGGAUGGAAAAACCACAGCCUACUGUCACAGGACUGCCCGCCAGUUCUGCUCUUGAACACGGCCCAGCACAACAAGCCACAAACCCAUCAAGUCAUACAAACAGGUGUCCAGCCGGUGGCUGUUUCCCCACAGGAUGUUGAGUCAUGUUCUUACAAUUCACAACAGGGUUUCUCUAAACUUGCAACAUUUUCCUAGGACCUAAGUGCCAUGCUGAAAAGAAAAGAAUAUACCUAAACCCGAUCCUUUAAAAAGCCCAGCUGAUUUCUGACAGCACGGAUGCACCUAGAGGGUAUUAGGCUAAGUUAAAUAAACCAGAUGGAAAAAGGCAAAUAUUGCAUGAUUUCACUCAUAUGCGGGAUCUAAACCACAAAACAAACAAACAAAGCAGAAACAGACCUGUAAACACAGAGAACAAACUGAUGGUUGCCAGAGUGGAAGGGGAUGGGAGAAUGGGCAAAAUGGGUGAAGGAGAAGGGGGAGGUGUUUUCAGGCUUUCGGUUGUGGAAUAAAUAAGUCAUGGGGAUAAAAGCAUGAGGAAUAUAGUCAAUGGUGCUGUAAUAGCCUUGUAUGGUGACAGAUGGUAGCUACGUUUGCGGUGAGCGUAGCAUGAGACACAGAGUUGUUGAAUCACUAUAUCGCACGCCUGAAACGAAUGUAACGUUGUGUGUCAGCUCAACUUCAAUCCAAAAAGGGCAGAACAAAAUAAAAAGACUGGUUGCCCCCAAACAAAAUAUCGUAAAAGUUACUCAAUUCUGAUAUUUCUUCAGGAAAUAAAACGAUACUCUUUGGAUGGGAAAGUCACAUUCUUACAGCUGUGAAAACCUGAACAACUGAAUAGAAGUUUGGACUUUGAAUACCUUCUCUUGUCCUUGCUCUGAGGCAAUGAUGCAAAGUCUUCUAGGGUUUACAUUUAAUGGGGAACUAUGUUCCCUCAUCUGUUUUAAUUGUGAAACCAUGUUUCGUGCCUGUGAUUCUUUGAAUUGCAACUUUCUGCCAGUUACGGGUUACCCAGGCAAGAGAAGCUCCAAGAGUAAUUCUCACCUGUCCGGAGAACAGUGAAGCACGAGGAGUCGACAGAUAUCGUUUACCUAGUACAGAUCGUUAAUGGUUUGUUACAAUUCAAACCUCCUAUGUGCCAGAAGCCAACCCGGUGGCUACAGAGAAGUGUACAGUCCUCUUCCACAGAUUUUGAGACUCAGAAGGACACAUCCAGAAGAAACCCUGCCUCCAAACACGAAAGGGCGACGUUCUCAGAAACCUGCCAACUUCAAAAAACGUACACCAGCCUACAUCAUUUACUCUAAAUACAUCGGACAUGAAGUAGCUCAACACUCGGACCCCUAGUCUGCAACAAUUUCUAUGGGAUUUGUUGUGAUGCCCCAAUUUCAGCUCAGACUCCAAUCAGGAUCCUUUCAGGGGAAAGAGAAAGCCCUUGUAAUGCAGAACACAGCUGCAAAGCUGCAACACAGGGCUGCUGGUUCUGGACAGAUAGCAAAGGCCCCCAUCGCAGAGAAACUGUCCCCAACCAUCAGGAUUCAGCAGUUUUCCAAUCAUUGGACAAUAUUGAAAAUAAACUUCAAACCAAGAUAUAAGGAGAGAAUAAGACUCAGCAUUCUGAUAGGAAAAUUCUGCUUCCCUUGCCUUCCUGCAAAAGGCAAAAAUGGGGUAGGCCAAGAGGAGUGAUUGACACUCAGCAGAACGCGGACAAAGGAAGAAAAGGAUGUCCAGACUGGAUGACAAGAGAGAAUAUGCCCAAAGCGCCUGGCCGGCUCAGUCGGAGGAGCACGCGACUCUUGAUCUCAGGGUCGUGAGUUUGAGCCCCACGGUGGGUGUGGAGAUUACUAAAAACAUAAAUAAAUAAAUAACUCUAAAAAGGGGAGAGAAUAUGCUCUUGGAAAAAUCUACCUGAUCAAAGAUUCUAACUAAAGCUUGAGAGAAAAGGGAAUUCAAAAUUAGUAUAUGUAUGUUUCAUACGUAUAUGUAUAAUGUAUAUACAUAUUAUAGCAUACGUGUAAUUAUCUACAAAUUAGUUUAUGAGCUCCAUUAACAGUUUCUAUAGCUGUUGCAAAUACUUAUGUGUGAAUUCACUUUUUCAAAAAGUCUAGAUGGCUGUUAUUCUAUAAGUGGUUUCAGUUAUUCUCAAAUGGCCUUUUUAAUGUCUCCUACAAUCCAUUAAAUGAUUCCUUCGGAUCAUAUUAGGAAUGGCUAUUAGAACAAUGUAGACAUUGCUCAGCUAUUGCAUUCAAGAGUCUAUGCUCAGGGUGAACCAAAUAGGUAAGCAGACUAUCUUAGGUCAAUGUCCCUAGAAGCACAGCCUGAGACAAGGAUUCAAGUACACAAGGAUUCAAGUACACAUGGAAAAAGCACUCUCAGGAGAAAUCUGUGAAGGAAGGAAAAUAGCAGGAUAAGGCAAGGGGAGAAGACUGAGCAAGGUUGUGGUCUCAGGUAUAGUCUGGCCUCGUCCUGAUCUACAGAGGGGCUAUCGAGCAAAAUCCAUACCCUAGAGGUCUCCCUUCUUAAAGCAAAGGAGGUUAUACUUGCUAUUCCGUAGCUGGCCAUAAUGGUACUAGCCAUUCCGUAGCUCUUCCAGCCAGAUAGCUUCCUGCAGCCCCAGACAAUUUUCCAGCUGUGAAACAUUAGCAGCCAGCAUUCACAGAAGCUGAGAGAAUGGGUGCAGCAGCCCGAUGUAAGGGAUAUGGGGGGACAUCACAGUCCCUUUGGAGAGUGUUGCCUUCUUUGGCCUCAUUUUUGUCUAGCAAAAGUCUGUAAGCAGCACUGCUGGAAAACCUUAUUCUAGCACCUUCAGACUCCUUUAAGGUCCUUUGGGAAUAACUCUAUGGAACUAGCCUCCAAAAUCCCAUUUCUGAAAUGCAUUCUGAAGUAGAAACAAUAGCAGUUAAUGCAGCGGUAUACAUGAUUGCUGUCAGACAAGUUUUUGUUAUGCUAGAGAAACACACUAGGACUUGUCACAGAGUACUGGAGACCAGGGAAAAGAAGGAACCCAGGGGGAAAUGGGACCAGGGGAUCGACCCCAUGAAUUCCAAAGUGAGUCGGGCUACUAUUAGAAAAAUCACAUCUUCUAGAGUCAAGUAUAUACACUUGCAUUCCAAGAUCUGCAAAAUUAUGGAUACUUUCAGACCCAUAGUCUGUCCAUUGGUUACAAUGCCGUAAGAUGUGUCUUGCACAUCCAUUGGAGGAGAAAGUGUUUCAGAAGCCCCUAAUGCUGUGUUUGGCUCCUUGUGUGCACCGCUCAAUAAAUGGUAUUUUAUUACCAUGACAUAUAUCUCUGCUCUCCACUCCCACCCACUGAACCGCUUCAUCCUCCAAAUCCAAAUUGCUGGAUUGGAUUUAUCCAAUGCAGAACCCAAACCAAAGCCACAAACACUCAAAUACUAACCAAAAAAGCAUGGCCAGAGCACAGAUCAUGAAAGUAGAGUUGUGUUCUUAUAGAGCAACUUUCCCUGUCUAAGAGAUGAUAUUAAGCCCUGGGGAAAGGAGGAGGAAGACAACCCUGCUGCCAUAGAGAGGGUAAAAUGGAGAAUUUGCAAGCCACAUCUUGGGCCUGGAUCAGCUCAGCCUUGUAACACCAGCAUUGAGCUUUGAGUAAAGAUGCUAAGUUGUUGUCUUUUCCACUGCCUUCUGAUAAGGACCACAAAUUGCCAGCAGCCAACCCAUUGCUCUUGUCAUCUAGCGUGGGGUAACACUUGUGUGAUCCUGGAGAUUCUCUCCAGCCCCCAUCCAAACAGUCUCAUAUGGACAACCACCAUAUCCGAUGACAAGGGUUCCUCGUAAGUCUGGUUCACCUCAUCCCCACCAUGGAUGGUGAGGAUGAAUAUUAGCGACCGUGGAGAUGAAUGGAGAUUAUGAAAUGCGCUUCCCCAACAUGACCUUCUGUCUUGCCCACAGUUGGCCCUUCACAUUUACUCAACAAGACUCCAAGAAGCACCCAGUGCUGUUGAAAGCCAUAUAACUCCACCACCCAGAGGGAACUUGCCCAAGGUGCCAAUUCUAUCCCACCUUCAGAGCUGUUUGGGAGAAGAGCGGUGGGGUUAACAAUUUACACUAGAGUUUUUCUUUUAUUUGUUCAGAAUUUGGUGUCCCCUUCCAUUUCUCCUCCCUCUUCUUUUGCCCCAGCUCCAAUUAGAAAAUUCCAUUGUACAAAAUCCCACUCCACAGGAACCUAUAUCAAAACGAGGAAGCCAUUGGUGUAUAAAGGACGCUCAUUUCAAGAGGGUAGAACACAGUGUGCCAUGUAAUCAAAGGCAAUUAAGGACAUUCAUGCAAUUGUGAAUAUACACCCUUUGCAUAAACAAUUAUGGAGAAUUGUUCACAAAGCUUACAUGCUGUGGCACUGGAUGGUUUCCAAAUGGCACUUAAGGCAUAAGAAGUACUUAUUUGGGGCUUGCAAACAUGAGUUUUGUUUGUGUUCUUAUGCAUGUUUGGCAAAUACAAUGCAGGCUCUGUUUUCAGAACAUUUGGCCUUAAAUAAAAAGCAAUGUGUCAAGCAAAUCCACCAAGAAGUACACUAAAUCUAAAACUUCUUCUGUUGGACCCAGAGGGAGGCUGAGGUAGACUCUUCCUUUUCCAGUUAAAGGCAACAUCUGGAUCCAAUUGCCAAGAGUUCUGGCUGACUCGGCCACAUCUAGCAGAGAGGCAGAAAGCCUUACCCAAGACUCGUGCAUUCGCUGUGAAGCUGCCCACUGCUUAUAGCACACCUGGAAUCAGUUAAGAGGGCAAAAUGUCCAUGUGAGCAGGAUGAUCUCACCCUGUGCCUCUCGAUGACCUCAAACAUUUGCCAUCUGCUCCAAGACAUGCAAAGUACUACCUACAUGCAUAUCGGAUUUCCUGGAUGGGGGCAGAGGUGGGGAGAAGGACACGUUUCUAUCGUCUUCACUUAGCAAAUAAAAAACAAGCCAAGAGGGGCACCUGGGUAGCUCAGUUGGUUGAGCGUCCAACUUCAGCUCAAGUCGUGAUCUCACCGUUCGUGGGUUUGAGUCCUGCAUCGGGCUCUGUGCUGAUAGCUCUGAGCCUGGAGCCUGCUUUGGAUUCUAUGUCUCCCUCUCUCUCUGCCCCUCCCCUGCUCAUGUUCUCUCUCUCCCUCUCUCAAAAAUAAAUUAACAUUAAAAAAAAAAAGCAAGAUUUUACAGUCCAUCUAAUAGGCUGAAAUACCAAUUCUGCUUGCUUUGUGUCUAAGCAAGUUAUAUAACAUCGGCCUCACUGUCCUCACUGGUAAAACAAAGGUAAUAGCACCUGCUUCAUGAAAGCUGUUGAAGACUAAUAAGAUGACAAACAUAAAGUGACCACACGCAGUAGCCUUUCAGAGAAUGUAGGCUAAAAGUAUUAAAUUAUUAUAUCAUAUUCUCCCUAUGCUUUCCCUUUUGCCUCUAUGUAGAAAAAUCUCCUCCAUUAAAAAAAAAAACAAAAAAACUUGGCCCACCACUCACCCUCACAAUGUACUACACAUCCAUUUCCUUAAAUGCCAAGUUCCUUAAAAGAGGAGUCUGCACGUGUUGUCCUGCCCUCACUCCCGUUCACCCUCAGCACCUGCCCUUCCCCCACAAUGAGCGAUGAGGAUCUUUCACCCACAGCCUUUGCCCCUUGACUAUGAGUGUGUCCCAAGCUACCCCACUGACGGGCUGGCCACCUGGCUGCCGUCAAUCAGUAGAAUGUGGACAAAUAUGAUGGCUGCCCCUCGUGAGCAGAAAUGUUAACUGUGCCUGCUCUGUUCACUUUGGCCUCCUGCGUCCUUGCCUCCUUCCAUGAGA